rnacentral:rRNA from 1 species
UUUAAUUGAAGAGUUUGAUCAUGGCUCAGAUUGAACGCUGGCGGCAGGCCUAACACAUGCAAGUCGAACGGUAACAGGGAGUAGCUUGCUGCUCUGCUGACG